UUCUCAAUGCUGCCCUUGGCCGCCAAGGCUGCGGUUUCUUCGUUCCACCUCGCAGCCCUAGCUUUGUUUUCCUGACAUGCUCGUGGCCACUGGGCCCCACGCCUGCGAGGGGAAUGUGUGCGGGUGCACGGGGGCGGGCGCGCGCGGCGGGCGGGGGCCCUCCUGCCAAGGACACGCCUGGCUGUCUGUCCUCCGGCUGCACUUGGCGGGAAAGCUGGAGGCCGCCAGCGGGGCUGCAAGCUCCCGGCUCUUAUUACCGCCUCCCAGCUCCCCGCAGGCAUCAUUUACAUACGGGCCACUCGUCAGAAUUUUUACAACCCCCCCCUCCCGCCUCCGGUCGCACGCGCGCAGGCUCGAAACAAGCGCCCGCGCGCACAGACCCCGGUGCCCAGGCUGCGGCUGGCCAGGUCGAGCAAACAGGCCCAGGGGUACAAGCAGCCCUCAGCAAAAGGGAUUCUUACACCCUCCCUCUUGUGCCUGCAUCCCUGACAGCCCUCCCAAUCGUGUUUCAGGAAGCCCACCUUCCCCACCAAGCCCCCACCCUUCUCUCACUGCCCACUCCCACUCAAACCCUCCACAUCUCUUUGCCUCUUUCCCUGAAACACACACACACACGCGCGCGCGCGCGCGCUUUUUCUUCCCACUCAGAUAAUCCCUAUGGCGAGUCCCUGGUACCUUCUGAAUAGCUCUGGAAUCUAAAGAAUAAAAAUCCUUAUAAUGUAUUUAUUGUAAUUAGCCAAGCACAUUUAACGAGCACAACAGGAAGAAGGGGAGGAGUGAGGAAGGGGGACUUGAACCAAAAGACCUUUCUUUAAGGAAAAAAAAAAAGUCUGCAAGUCAAAAGGUCAUUCCCCAAGUUUGUAAAUAAAAUAGCAAAAGGAGUCUUAAAAGAGAGGAAAGAAGGAAGGUAGAAAAGAUCCACAAGUUACAUAAAAUGGUGCAUUGGAAAUAUAAGACAGGGCUAUUCUUGAGAGAGAGAAAUCAAGGGGAUAGAAACUGGAGGAAAAAAGAAAAAGAGGGAGAAGAAAAUAAAAGGUAGAAAAGGCAAAAGAAGUUUCCAAAGAAAUGUGUGCUGUGCAUCCUACAAUAGGAAAUGUAGCCAUUGCCCUCCUUCAGACGAGCAUUUCUAAUUUGUUCCGUCUGUCAGGAGGGGACUAUGAGAGGUUUGGGUGCAAAUUCAUUAUCUCUGGCAACGCAGAACGUAGUGUGGGGACUGAAAAAGACCGUGGCAAUGGAUGAACAAUAGGGCUUCAGUUCAUCAGUAACAAAAGCAGUGGGGAAAUUGGUUGAGUUUCAGAGCACGUCCUCCUCGGCAGAGGGGGCUGGACUAGACCUUGGACAGCCCCCCCAAAACUUGCCGAGCCUCGCACACACCACUUCACUCUCCACUCCGAGGCUCAAGGAGCAAGUGCCUGGCGUGGGGGGGAAAAGUUGGCUUUUUUCUUCCUUCGUCUUUUUUGCGCCCUUCUCUCCUUCCCCAGAAGGGAAGGUUCCUUCAAACUAUUUUAGACCCAAUCAAGCAAGAAUCACCGUGUGGAAUUGAGCGGCAGUUCUUAAAUGUGCUAAGGAGAGGGAUGGUCUGAUUUUUUCCUUUAUUUUUAUUUUUAUUUAUUUAUUUUUUUUUUGAGACGCCGAAAGGAGCCUGGUUGUGUAACUGCGGCCGCCCUGUGACUGGAUCUUGUCUUCUGGCCCGCGCUUUUGGAUUUUGGGGCAACACUGCCUCGCUCAGGAGCAGAGCACAAAUGACUACAGAGAAGCAAAAAAUGAAUAGACAACCCCACCAACCAAAGACCGGGGGCAGCAGCACGCCAGCAAGAAGGCAUCUUCUCUUUCCCAGCCUAGAAGCCCUGUGAAAUCGAGGAUCUUCCCCCUAAAACACACACACAAGAUAUUGCAAUCAAGCUGCCACUGCUUGGUAAAAAGCUCAUGGUGCCUAACCAAAAGGAUCAGGAGCAGAUCCUUGAAUCAGCUGUCACUUCUAUAGAAUGGGAUUUUUUUUCCUUCCUCCUUAACCUGCACUGGAAAUUGCCGUUGGCUUCAUACAUCUCCAUAGAGGGAGGCUAAGGAGUCUUGCGUGAGAAUGAAGCAAUUUACAAUGCAAAUAGAGGCUUCUGAAGGGACGGAUACUGCUGCUCACUCAUAACUGCUUGCUGCACCUUAAUAGCUGGUUUUAUUUUCUGAUAUUAAUAGAUGAAUUGUUGGCUAACGCUGCCGGAGAUUACUUGCUGAAAGGGGGAAAAAGUUCGGAAUAAACUUUCAAAGCAACAGAUCUCAUUUGGAUGUUUUAGCGGCACACACAAACAGAAACCAGGUCGUAUUUACAUACAAGGAGGAAUCUUAAGCGCCUGCAAGUGCCCUGGAGGACUACUCUUCGGUACUGCCAGAAAGAUCGUGAUCUGGAUUCAGGCCAGAGGAAGACAGAGGAAUUUGAGGGAAGCGAGUUGUUAUCUUUGGUUAUCUAGCUGUAUGAGUGUAUUGGUCUUCAUAAAGCUAGAUAACCGAAAGUAAAAACUCCUUCAAGAUCGACGGGGAGCAUGUGAGAAUGAAAGACUACAACCAAGAGACAGUAAAAACCAGAAAGGUCAGGAAUACUUAUUGAAUCUAACUUUGUUUUUGGUUUUGUUUUCCUUAUGAUUAAAGGUUGGAUUAGAGGAAAUUAAGUGGCAUACCUAUGCCAAAAAAUAAAGGUGCCAGGUAUUUUGAGAGGGGUUGUUACAAGGGAGAAUUGUAUAGUGCUAAUGAGUUAAGAGGCAUGUGCAGUUCAUCCUACUUAAAAGCAAAAGUUCAAAUAUGAGGGUUUUUUCCCCCUUUCUUAGAAAGCUGUUGUAGAGAUGACUGGUACCUAGUUUUAAAAUGAUUUCAUAUUAUAUACAUGUAGGCUGUUUGUUCUCUUCUGAGACUCCCUCCUCUGAUAAAUUUUAAAUUUUAAGUUUCAUUUGGAAACUGCAUGUAUUUGGGGUAUAUAUCAGAUUAUAGGAAACUGGACUAUCAGAAAAGUUUAUACUGGAAGGUUAAUAUUUUAUAUCUACUGAGGACAUAGUGCUAGUAGAAAAUUCAAAAAAAAUAAAAAGCAGAGGCUGAUUUUUAUUCUUCUAUUCAAAAUACAAGGACAGAUGCUUCUCUGUUCUAAGAGGGUUUCCUUGAGGAAGCUACUGAAGCAGAAAGACAUGAUGGAGACGAGAUCGCCUCCCCUCUUGUCAAAGUGUUAAAAAAAUGUUCUGUCUUACUCUGGGCCUAGCAUUGGAAAUGAAAGUGACAUUUACGCCACAACCCACGUGUGCGCCUCCUCUCUUUUUGUUUAAGGAUGAUCAGGUCUAUCCAGGAAACAGCUCUGGCAUCCCAAACUGAAAUAAUUAGGACGUAUAGACCUGACAAAAAUGGAAAGGGGGUGGGGAAUCUGAGGGUCUGUCUUGCCUAAUUGAUUCCGCUAAACGGAAUGCAGGAGAUGUGAACGGCAGGACGCUCUGAUUCCCACGCUCGGGGGCAAGUGGUAAAGCGGGCGGGCAGCCUAUGACAGACAGCCCUGUUGGGGGGGGGGUAUGAAAAAAACAUCAAGUACUCACCGUACUCAUCUCCAUCGCUUAAGAAAGUAGAGGCAUUUCCCACCCACAGCCAUCUGCAGCCUCCCAAAUGGGAGCAGCGACUGGUCUGUAGCUGCUGCAUGCUGUCUGUUUCUGUUAAUUUUAUAACCACUGUGUAAUCUGGCCAUAAUUAAGUUUGGCUCCCUUCUUUGGUUGAGAUUUUCAAUAUUUAAGGAAAGCUAGUAGAAAGCAGUUCAAAGAAAGUACCAUUGCUGCCUGCCCCUUAUGUCAGAUUCUCAGCCCAUACUUUCGGCUUUGUGAUCACCUUUUGGCUGUUAUUUUGGGUGAGUAAUAUUUAAAAAUACAUAUCUCUAUAUAACAGACAUUAUCAUCUCUUCAUCUAAGUGCUUACCUCUUACAUAAUAAUUAUAGAAAUUUAGCCUAAUUAUGCUAGUUGACACACUGGAAGUAAAACUAUAAAAUCAUCAACCUGUAUAAUAUGAUAAAAGGUUGUUUUGGUGUAGUCUCAGCUAGAAACACUCUAAACAGACAUCUUUAUUUAAUCUAAAAGUGACUGCUUAGCCAAAACUUUGACUCUUUGAAGGCCCCUAUAGUAAUCUUUUUGUAAAUGUCUUCACAUUUGCCCACAUGUCACCAAGCAAACAUCUGUAUGGGCAUUUAAACAUAAAAACAAACAUUGCAAUAAGAAAAUGCCCAAAAUCCACAUGGCCUAGAUGGUUGACAAUCCCACUCCCAACUAUGCAACUCUUCUUCCAAAGCAUUACACUGUCCUUUGUAGCUUCAUCUUCUUUUAGGACUUCAGUCUGGAGAAGCCUUGUAAAGCCCCUGAUAGUUUCAGUUAGAAACUCUCAGAGACUUUGUUAACGUAAAUUCUCAAUUCAGCUGAGGAACACGUGCCAAAGUUUUACUACUGUAGUGACCGUUGAGAAGACCCUUGUUUAUUUACAUAUGAAGCACUGUUUGUGCAAACAACCUUUCAUUGUUAAGUGCCUGUAUUCCUUUCAUUUACUUCAUGUCCAGGGGUGCUAUUUACCUAGACCCAUUGUCUACUACAAUUAACAUUUACAUUACAAAGUGUGUGGUUUUCUUUCUCAAGGAGGUUCAAUUAAGGCAAUAAGAUGUUUGCUGGGGAAACCUAUUGUUUACUGAAAGCACUCAAUGGAGUCAAAUUACUGAAGCUUUUGCCUACAUCUUGGUCUUUUAUGUAAAUAUGUUAACUAUAACAUAUAAGUAAAAUAAACAGUAUUAUAAUUCUGUGUUUACCAUUGUCAUAUCAAACUUGCUUUGUAUCAUACUAAUGUUACAUGACUUAUCAAUCAAUAAAAAUGCAUUUCAAUGUUA